AUGGUUGUUGGAUCUAAGUACCCCACUUUUAUCCCAUGAUUCCUGAAAUAUUCCAUAUUUUCUGCCCAUGGAGUAAGUGCCUCCCGAAGGACUAUGGCAUUUUUUAUUUCGCGAAAAAAAGAAAGUUGGCUACUUCAAUUCAAGGGAAAAAGAACCAAGAACAUGGUGAAAAACUUUAAAUAGCAGAUGAAAAGAGGGGGAAUCGAAAUUCAGGGGGAAAAGAAUAAAGAAAAUGGUGAAAAACUGCAAAUAGCAGAUGAAAAGAUGAGGAUAUAUCGAAAUUCAGGGGAAAAAGAACAAAGAAAAUGGUGAAAAACUGCAGUAGCAGAUGUAAAGAGGAGGGAAAUUUAGGAGAUCUCUCUCUCUGAAAUUUGAGAGAUCUCUCUCUCUAAAAUUUGAGAGAUCUCUCUCUCUAGAGAUCUCUCUCUCUAAAAUCACCAUUCCGAGACUGUAAGUGGAAAAAGCCGUCUCUCUCUCUUGAGCGCAAAGAAUGGUACUUCAUCUUGUGAUUCUUCGAUCCCCUAUUAUUCACCUCUAUUACCAACAAAUCACUCUUAUUUUUUCCUGCAAAAGUUCCCUUUUCAAAGCUAUUAGUACUCUCUGCAAAAAACCAUGUUCAAAACUCUCAUUGCUUUCUCUAACAUCUCAAAAAAUCCAUUUACAAAAUCACCUCUCACUGCUUUAUCUCGCGUAAUCUCUACAAAACCAUGGCUAAAAGCUCUCUCUACUUUCUCUCACUUCCCCCCACCGUUUGCUCAACACAGCGAGGGGGGUUUUCCUGAUAACCCACCAGAUAUUGUGAGAAGAAUGUGUCAUGUAGUUUAUAAAACCUAUGAAGAAGGGGACAAAAGGCUUUGUUCUGUGCCUCUUCUCUCUCCUAAACUGAGUCCAGAACAAGCAGUUACGGUAAUAUUCAUGCUUUCAGAGAAAGGGGGUUCCAUGAUGGCCUUGAGCUUCUUCUAUUGGGCCAUUGGGCACCAAGAAUUCAUGCUCCAUUUGCGCCUGUACAUAACAAUGGCUGCCUCUUUAAUAACUACUGGUAAUUUAGAGAGAGCCCAAGAAGUUAUGAGGUGUAUGGUUAGUAAUUUUGGGAGUGCAGGGAAGAUGAAAGACGCCAUAGACAUGGUUAUUGAGAUGCGGAACCAAGGUCUUCCUCUCAAUCUACACACCAUGAAUUGGAUUCUCAAAGUUGCAGAUAAAUUGGGGUUUGAUGAUUUGGUCAAAUACGCAUUCUCAGAGAUGAGAGACAAUGGGGUCAACCCAACCGUUUGCAGUUUCAAACCCAUAAUUAGGGUUUACUGCAAGGAAGGGAAGAUUGCUGAAUUAGAAAACGUUUUAAGAACUAUGCAGGAGAACAAGUGCUCCUUAGAUGCUGCUUCAUUUACCCUAAUUGUGAAUGCUUACUGUGAAAAUGGCCUGGAGGGUCGAGUUUUCAGGCUUUUCGAGAAGGUUCCAGAGAUGGGUUUAACCCCAAACGUGAUAAACUACACAGCUCUUAUCAAUGGCCUGUGCAUCAGAGGGAGAGUUAAGCAAGCUUUCGAAGUUUUAGAGAGAAUGGUUGCCGAGGGCCACAAACCCAAUGUUUAUACUCACACCACUCUGAUCAAUGGGCUAUGCAAGAAGGGGUGGACAGAGAAAGCCUUUAGAUUGUUCCUGAAACUUGUUAGGAGUGAGAGUUACAAGCCCAAUGUUCAGACCUAUACCUCCAUGAUAGGGGGUUAUUGCAAGGAGAAUAAGAUGGGUCGAGCCGAAAUGCUCUUAGAGAGAAUGAGAGAGCAAGGACUGGUUCCAAACACCAUGACAUAUACUACUUUGAUUGAUGGGUACUGUAAAGGAGGGAAUUUCAGCAGUGCUUAUAGUUUACUGGAAAUUAUGGUCCAGGAAGGCUUCGAUCCAAAUAUAUCUACCUAUAAUGCCAUAAUCAAUGGGCUUCUCAAAAAAGGGAAGGCAGGAGAGGCAUAUAAUCUUCUUGAAGCUGGCCUCAAGCGAGGGCUUAAACCUGAUCAUGUCACCUAUACCAUACUUAUGAGUGAACAAUUGAAGAGAUCUAACACCAGACUUGCUUUGGCCUUGUUUGGUCGAAUGAUUGAAGAGGGUUUUCUACCAGAUAUACACACAUACACAAUGCUAAUCACCUCAUUUUGCAAGGAAAGGAAGGUUAAAAUUAGUGAGAGAAUAUUCGAUGAAGCUCUUAGGAUGGGUUUGGUCCCUAGCAAGGAGACUUAUACUUCUAUGAUAAGUGGAUUUUCUAGAGACGGAAACACAAGCUCUGGAUUGAAGUUUUUUCAGAAGAUGACUGCUAAAGGCUGCUUACCUGAUGCAGUCACUUAUGGUGCACUCAUUAGCGGGCUGUGUAAAGAGUCGCGACUGGAGGAAGCAAUCUCUAUCUUUCAUGCAAUGAUGGAAAAGGGACUAAUUCCAUGUGAGGUUACUUGUGUCACCAUAGCAUACGAGUAUUGUGUGAAAAAAGGGGUUGAAGAUACCAUGGGUGUCUUGGAAAAGUUGGAGAAGAGGUUGUGGUUUCGGGUAGUGAAUAUUCUUAUUAGAAAGCUCUCUAGUGAAAGUCACGUGGAUGCUGCAAAUGGGUUUUUUCACAAGUUCUUGGAUGAAGGUGGAGCACCAAAUUCAAUCACUUUUGCGGCAUUUGCAAAUGCAUGCUACAGUAGCAACCAAUACUCAAUUGCAUCGCAAUUAUCAUCCAGAAUCGCUGCAGUGAGUUCUUAGAUGUUAGUCACUAGCACCUAGAUUUGAGCUUCCAGUCAGCGGUUGAGCCUAAGAGUUUGUUUCUUCUAUGGUUUAAAAGGGCCUGGAACCAUUUGUCUCCUUCUUGGGUAUUGUCUUUUGCCAUGGAAGUUGUCUGCUGCUGACUUUGAGAUUAUGGCAACCAGUAGCUGCAGACAGAAGAUCCAUUUUUUAGCUGAAAAUAAUUUGAUUGUAAACAUCUACUGUUUUGAUUUCCCCUCGUCUACUUCUACAUUCUUGUUUGAGUUCUUAAAGGGAAAGAAAAAGAAGGAGAAGAAGCCAGUUAAGUUUUAAAUGGAUGGAUGCUUCGAUAGGAUGUAUUCUGGCCACUGUUGUGCUUUAUGCCAGGCCCGUGCUCUUGGGGACCAGCUUGUCAUGGGUGUGCUCAGCAUUACAGAGGUGAUCGUGAACAAGGGCCCCCCUGUUAUUCCCCUCAUGGAUGAUAAUGGUGACAGCUGUGAAAUGGGUUGAUGAGGUUAUCCCAUCGGCUUUUUUUGAGAAGCGGUUGACUUAAUUACUAUAACAUAAAGUUUACAAAAUCCCUGAUUCGGCAACCCACAAACGGGGUGCUCAAAUAUACAUAAGGGUUCCAAAGUGCAAGCCUAAAAGAACCAAUAGAAAAAAGUCUCUAUCAACAGCCCACGAGAGGUAGACUGCAAGCAAAAACAAAAAGCAUCUGAGAUAGAUAAAAAAAGGAAGAGGGGGAAGAAAUAGAAUGAUAAAGAAGGAGAGAGAGGUGUCAGAGAUAGGUAGAGGUGGAGCAGAUAGAGAGAGAUAGAGAUUGGUGGGUGGAGAUAAAGAAGACGAAAGAGAAAGGUUAUCCGUGAUUCUCCUUAUGCAAUCAUGGAAUAGUUUAUGUAUUAACACUUUGAUGAAUACAAAAUUGGUUACAUCAUUCA